GUACGUUUCACCUCGGGUGACAGGGAGACAGGUGGUGCAUGGUUGUCGUCAGCUCGUGUCGUGAGAUGUUGGGUUAAGUCCCGCAACGAGCGCAACCCCUACGUUUAGUUGCUAACGCGUGAAGGCGAGCACUCUAGACGAACUGCCGUUGACAAAACGGAGGAAGGUGGGGAUGACGUCAAAUCAUCAUGCCCCUUAUGUUCUGGGCUACACACGUGCUACAAUGGCCGGUACAGACGGACGCAAAGCCGCGAGGUGGAGCAAAUCCUAAAAAGCCGGUCUCAGUUCGGAUUGCAGGCUGCAAUUCGCCUGCAUGAAGUCGGAAUCGCUAGUAAUCGCAGGUCAGCAUACUGCGGUGAAUACGUUCCCGGGCCUU
rnacentral:rRNA from 1 species